rnacentral:rRNA from 1 species
GACUUCUUUAGUACCGCAGCUAACGCGUGAAGUUCGCCGCCUGGGGAGUACGGUCGCAAGAUUAAAACUCAAAGGAAUUGACGGGGACCCGCACAAGCGGUGGAUGAUGUGGAUUAAUUCGAUGCAACGCGAAAAACCUUACCUACCCUUGACAUGCCUGGAAUCCUGAAGAGAUUUGGGAGUGCCCGAAAGGGAACCGGGACACAGGUGCUGCAUGGCUGUCGUCAGCUCGUGUCGUGAGAUGUUGGGUUAAGUCCCGCAACGAGCGCAACCCUUGUCGCUAAUUGCCAUCAUUUAGUUGGGCACUUUAGCGAGACUGCCGGUGACAAACCGGAGGAAGGUGGGGAUGACGUCAAGUCCUCAUGGCCCUUAUGGGUAGGGCUUCACACGUCAUACAAUGGUCGGUACAGAGGGUCGCCAACCCGCGAGGGGGAGCCAAUCCCAGAAAGCCGAUCGUAGUCCGGAUUGGAGUCUGCAACUCGACUCCAUGAAGUCGGAAUCGCUAGUAAUCGUGGAUCAGCAUGCCACGGUGAAUACGUUCCCGGGUCUUGUACACACCGCCCGUCACACCAUGGGAGUGGGUUUCACCAGAAGUAGUUAGCCUAACCGCAAGGGGGGCGAUUACCACGG